UCGAGGAUCUUUCGCAAUGGGCGCAAGCCUGACGAAGCGACGCUGCGUGAGUGAUGAAGGCCUUCGGGUCGUAAAGCUCUUUCGCGCAAGAACAAGGGAGGAAUGUGAAUAACAUUCUAACUUGAGGGUACUGCGUAAAGAAGCACCGGCUAACUCCGUGCCAGCAGCUGCGGUAAUACGGAGGGUGCAAGCAUUAAUCGGAAUUAUUGGGCGUAAAGGGCGCGUAGGCGGAAAGCCAAGUCAGAUGUGAAAUACCAAAGCUCAACUUUGGUGCUGCAUUUGAAACUGGUUUUCUAGAGGGUUGACGGAGAAAACGGAAUUCCACGUGUAGCGGUGAAAUGCGUAGAUAUGUGGAAGAACACCUGUGGCGAAAGCGGUUUUCUAGUUUAUACCUGACGCUGAGGCGCGAGAGCAAGGGGAGCAAACAGGAUUAGAUACCCGUGUAGUCC
rnacentral:rRNA from 1 species